GACAAAUAAGGAGGACAAGGAGGAAGAAUCUGUGAUAUUAGGUAGGGGAUGAGUUGAAAGGGAAAACUUGAUUUUUCUGUAGAGGAAUCAGUUGCUCAAUAUUUCCUUUGAUGGAUGGUAUGGUGGAUGCAUUGGACAACAAGAUUCGUCUUGCUGUUGCUUUUAUAGCUUCUAAGAUUGUUUAUGAUCAAUUGCAGUUGUUUUAAUGGUGAAACUAUUCUGGCGAGUUCUGGAUCUAUAGAUCAAUUAAUUCACCUUUGUACUUCCCGUGAGGAUAAUUAUUAUGAUGAACGAUGCCAUGAUGCCAUGUGAUGGGGGUGGGACUUCCGGCGGUUGCAUGAAAUGUAUGGCAGGCGCAUCGCGCAUGCAUGCUAUACUAGU